GAUGAACGCUGGCGGCGUGCCUAAUACAUGCAAGUCGAGCGAACAGACGAGGAGCUUGCUCCGCUGACGUUAGCGGCGGACGUGUGAGUAACACGUGGAUCACCUACCUAUAAGACUGAGAUAACUUCGGGAAACCGGAUCUAAUACCGGAUAAUAUAUUGAACCGCAUGGUUCAAUAGUGAAAUACGGUUUUGCUGGCACGUAUAGAUGGAUCCGCGCCGCAUGAGCUAGUUGGUACGGUAACGGCUUACCAAGGCAACGAUGCGUAGCCGAAGUGAGAGGGGGAUCGGCCACACUGGAAGUGAGCCGCGGUCCAGACUACUACGGGAGGCAGCAGUAGGGAAUCGGACGCAGUGGGCGAAAGCCUGGCGGAGCAACGCCGCGUGAGUGAUGAAGGUCUUCGGAUCGUAAAGCUGUGUUAUGAGGGAAGAACAAAUGUGUAAGUAACUAUGCACGUCUUGACGGUAACUGAUCAAAAAGCACCGGCUAACUACGUG
rnacentral:rRNA from 1 species